GUUCCAGCGUACUGCGUCAUCUCGUUUAAUUCAGUUCUCCAAGCAUUGGAAGAGUCCAGCAGAAAUACAUAUACUCAGUCAAACAAUUGUGUUUACACUUUUUUAUCUACAUAUUCAUCGAGGAAUUUCUCGAGCAGAGAACAGAAGAAUAACCGCCAAAGCAAAACGUAAACAGACGAGCACCGAGCAUUCGACAUUUCUACGAGAUAUACAAAGAGAGAUCUCCAUUCCCCUUCCGUCCUUCAUCGAGUUAAGAUCUAACGAACGCGACGUAUUAAACUAUUUAUUGAUUUUCUUUCUAACGUUAUCUAAUUACAACAUUCGACAACUGCUGAUUA
rnacentral:lncRNA from 1 species